UUUACGGGAGGCAGCAGUAGGGAAUUUUCCGCAAUGGGCGAAAGCCUGACGGAGCAAUCUCGCGUGAGGGAUGACGGCCUAUGGGUUGUAAACCUCUUUUUUCAGGGAGGAAUAAAUGACGUGUACCUGAAGAAUAAGCAUCGGCUAACUCCGUGCCAGCAGCCGCGGUAAU
rnacentral:rRNA from 1 species